GGGUUCGGUCGGCAGGCGGGUGAGAAAGGAGGCAGUUUAAGAAGCAGAACGUCUGCACCGGCAAAUAGUUCUGCUUCUGAAACCACCUCCCACCUUCCACCUCCACCGUCGGAAGC